GCCCCUAUAGCUCAGUAAGGACAGAGCAGUGGUUUCCUAAACCAUGUGUCGCAGGUUCGAGUCCUGCUAGGGGCA
rnacentral:tRNA from 1 species